rnacentral:lncRNA from 1 species
UUGUGGAGGAUAUUUGCUUUAAAUUUUCUGUGCUCUGAAUUAGUAUCUUGACAUAGAGUAAGUUCGUUUUCUGUUGGUAGAGCCCUUUCCUUGGUGUCAAGUGGGGCUGCAAUGCAACCAGGAUUCAAGGAAGAGUUCUGUCUGCUUAGGCCGUGGGGACAGGACCCGGGCUCCGUCCUCACCGUGGCUGUGAUUUGCUGUGGUGGUUGUGCAGGCACUGCAUGCUAACUGGCCUCAGCUUAUCCUUCUUUAGAGUAAACGUGGUAUCGUGCCAAAAAGCAAGGCUACGCCGAUCAAAACAUGCCCUAUCAAAUAUUUAUUAAUCUGCUACUCUGUCAUAUGUGGUAACUCCAAAACAAAUCGACUGCACAGUCCUCUGUGGAAAACAGCUGUGCAAAGUAGGCAGGGAGUGCCACUGUCCCUCUUACACCACAUCACUGAGAUGAAGGGAAUUUUUCAUUUUAACCUUUGCUACUUACUUCUUUAGUGAGACUGCGCCAUGCACUGUGAUCCUCAGAGAGCUGCUGUCUGUCACUGCCCAUUGCUUUGCUUCUGCUCUGCAUUCUGCUGCAGGAGGGUGAGAAGCUGGAACAGCAGUACAUCUAAAUGUAUUCUUUCUUGAUGGGCUUUUAUUGAUCUUCCAGCAACCCUAAAGCAAAAGAAUGAAGCAAAUAUUGCACCCUGAAGACACCAGUGGUCAGAGAAUUAAGAUCACUUUCCCUUCUCAAAAUGCUUUAUAAAGUAGCAAGAUGUGUGUGUGAAUUAUUUACACUUCAAAAUGCAUAGAAUCCUACAGGAGAAGUCUUCAUUAGCAGCUGCGCACGAUUGACAUGCUGACAGAUCCAGGCCUAGAAUAAGUAGAUUUUGAUCCAAGAGCCACAGGAAAAUCUCAGCUCAUUGUUUCUGUGCGGGUGGAGAGGGAAGGACUGAAGCAUUUGACUCAGAGCAGUGCUCUGUUCUCAGGAGACAACUGGAGCCAAGGAAGAGAAGUGGCAAGAGGACUCCUCUGGCGACAUUUUGGUAGUCACCGUAACUUGGACAAGCCAGGAGAGAGCUGGCUGGGGGACCUGAAGCAGGAGAAGAUCAAGGAGAAGAGUCCUGAUGUUAUGGAGG